rnacentral:rRNA from 1 species
UACAGAGGGGGCAAGCGUUAUUCGGAAUUAUUGGGCGUAAAGCGCACGUAGUCGGCUUUGCAAGUCGGUUGUGAAAUCCCCGGGCUCAACCUGGGAACUGCAUCCGAGACUGCAUUGCUAGAGUAUGGGAGAGGAAAGCGGAAUUUCUGGUGUAGCAGUGAAAUGCGUAGAUAUCAGAAGGAACAUCAGUGGCGAAGGCGGCUUUCUGGACCAAUACUGACGAUCAGGUGCGAAAGCGUGGGGAGCAAACAGG